rnacentral:rRNA from 1 species
AACACAUGCAAGUCGAACGAGAGAAGAGAAGCUUGCUUUUCUGAUCUAGUGGCGGACGGGUGAGUAACACGUGAGCAAUCUGCCUUUCAGAGGGGGAUACCGAUUGGAAACGAUCGUUAAUACCGCAUAAUAUAAUUGAACCGCAUGAUUUGAUUAUCAAAGAUUUAUCGCUGAAAGAUGAGCUCGCGUCUGAUUAGCUAGUUGGUAAGGUAACGGCUUACCAAGGCGACGAUCAGUAGCCGGACUGAGAGGUUGAUCGGCCACAUUGGGACUGAGACACGGCCCAGACUCCUACGGGAGGCAGCAGUGGGGAAUAUUGCACAAUGGAGGAAACUCUGAUGCAGCGAUGCCGCGUGAGGGAAGAAGGUUUUAGGAUUGUAAACCUCUGUCUUCAGGGACGAAAAAAGACGGUACCUGAGGAGGAAGCUCCGGCUAACUACGUGCCAGCAGCCGCGGUAAUACGUAGGGAGCGAGCGUUGUCCGGAAUUACUGGGUGUAAAGGGAGCGUAGGCGGGAUCGCAAGUCAGAUGUGAAAACUAUGGGCUUAACCCAUAAACUGCAUUUGAAACUGUGGUUCUUGAGUGAAGUAGAGGUAAGCGGAAUUCCUAGUGUAGCGGUGAAAUGCGUAGAUAUUAGGAGGAACAUCAGUGGCGAAGGCGGCUU